rnacentral:rRNA from 1 species
UACGUAGGUGGCAAGCGUUGUCCGGAAUUAUUGGGCGUAAAGCGCGCGCAGGCGGUUUUGUAAGUCUGAUGUGAAAUCCCCGGGCUCAACCUGGGAAUUGCGUUGGAGACUGCAAGGCUAGAAUCUGGCAGAGGGGGGUAGAAUUCCACGUGUAGCAGUGAAAUGCGUAGAGAUGUGGAGGAAUACCGAUGGCGAAGGCAGCCCCCUGGGAUAACACUGACGCUCAUGCACGAAAGCGUGGGGAGCAAACAGG